UUUUGUUGUUUUUUCUGCAGGGCCGAUACCUCGACUGCUUCGCUAUAACCCAAGACCUAAGACAAAUGUAGAGACAAUGUUGAUGCCGCUUCAUCUGAAGGUAACCCUUGAUCUUUUCUCGUGAUCCAUUCGAGACUCGGGUUUUAGCCAUAAGAGUGGCCUUUCGAAUGUCUUGUGAUCAUGUGUAGAGCCGCGACACGUGAUUGACCUCGACGCCAACG
rnacentral:lncRNA from 1 species